UUACCCUCAAAAGUUGCAAGGUGUCGAAGUGCUGAGAGGUGGAAGCAUUAUUGUGUAAAAAGGCAAGAUGAGGCGGACUUGUGUUUUUCUUUGUUGGCUGGUAGCUGUGGACGUGUACUAAAUGAAAUGGCUGGUGAUAGUUGUUCUUGUACACAAGAUAAAAUGGCUUUGGUUUCUUGGUUUCAUGGCUUUGUUGGAUGGUAGCUGUGGAAGUGAGCUCAAGUGUUGAAUAUUGAUGUCUGUCAUCUUGUUCAUGUUGUUCCCAGUCACUACUUAAAGCAAUAAACUCCUGAGGGAUUGAAACUUGCCACUGCAAAUUUAUCAAAUGUGCCUUCAAGUUGUUCAAUCAGGAUGAGCAACAUUUCAAACUGAAUGUGCAUAAUGUUUUGUCGCUCAUGAAUUUCAGAAUCAACAUGCAUGUAGCUGGUGUCUACUUGUAUGCACCACUGGAAUCAGUCUAGAUCAGUGUCAGUUGUGAGGAGAUGUAAUCUAGGUUUAUCUACAGGCCCCAUUUGUAUCUAAAAUGAUGUGCCUCGACAUACAUUGGAUUGACCAUGAUUUGUAAACAGAAACUCAUGUUUCAUAGUUACUGAUAAUUGUAGUGCGCAAUGCUUGUAUUUGAUUGGAAAUGAAUAUAGGCUCUAGUGCCUUUCUUUUUUAUUACAAUUUGAAGGAAAAUGAAAUGACAGAGCAGCAACGGGAGAGAUCAAACAAGAUGACAAGUGAGUGGCAUGAGAAUGUUGGUCUGAAUAUUCCAAAAAUGUGGACUUAGGACCCUUUGAAUGUUUACAUUUUGGUUGGACAUGGCAUGGCAGCCAUAUGCAUGCACUUGGAGGCUCUCAACUACACGAGAUGUGUUUGAGGUGCUACAGUUUAGUUAGACCGGCUCUUUUCUGGUUUCUUAGAUCUUUUCUUUUUGAGGAUCAGGUUUCUUAGAUCUGUAAUGUCUGUUUUAGUACUGUCCUCUAAAUGUUUUAGUAUUGCCCUCUAAGUCGACAUAUUUUACUAGUUUUGUUUCUUGAUAAUUAUCAUUUGGAACAAAGCUUCAUUUUCAAAUACAAAGCUUUCCCUCCAUCCAUUCAUCUGUCACGUGCCAGCUUACUCAUCCGCAUGCAUGGGUCCUCUAGCCGCGUAAUAAUUGCCUUUCCUGAAAACGCAACAAAGCGGAUCGUCAUCAUCGUAUCAUUAAGUGCCCUAGGGAUGCCCACAGGACAUCCAAUCUUGCGCCACCUCACCGAUCAGCAGCACCGCGGCCUCCUUUGUUCUUAUCUCCACCAUGCUUUCUUCUAAGACCAUCUCUAUAUAUACCAGAAAGGGUCAUCCAUCCGCGUACGACUUAAAACUUGGGCGACGGCGAGAAGAUGAGAGGAGGCGAGGGAUGGCGGACCCAUGGAGCAUGAUGGUCUCCCUUGGCCGGUAGUGAGGUGCAAACGAAGCGCUGGCGCAGCAGCAGCGCCAUUGUAGGCCGACGCCGGUUCUCUCGUCGCCGGCGUGGCCGCGUGGUAAGGAAGGAACGAGGCAAAAAGGGGUAUUGUAGUUGACUGGAAAAGGAAAAAGGAAAGAUUAAUUCAUGAGGAUGGAUGCGCGAGAAAGUGAGUCGCCGGAAUCGAUGCUCAAUCCGGUGGCACGGCACUGACCGGAUGAGAAGGAGAACGAAAAGGGAAGAUCCCGGCCGUGCGGGGGAGGCGAGGGGAGGCGCGAGGCCGCCGUGGAGGAGGAGGAACUGCACGAGACUCGGGAAUGUCGUCGUCGCCGCACAAUGGACCUCACCAUGUCCAUGAAGCGGGAUCUGCAGAUCCAGGCAAACCCCGUCCCAUUACCAGAUACUCUAUCGCUACUUCAUCCCUCUUGUGUUGUUGUGCAUCAUACUCCCUCCGUUUCUUUUUAGUCUGCAUAUAAGAUUUGGUCAAAAUCAAACUUUGUCAACUUUGACUAAGUUUAUACAAAAAAAUAUCAAGAUUCAUAAUAUGAAAUCAAUAUUGUUAGAUGCAUCAUGAAAUUAAUUUUCAUACCAUAUAGUUUUAGUAUCGUAGAUGUUGAUAUUUUUUCAAACAAAGUUGGUCAAAGUUUACAAAGUUUGAUUUUGACCAAAUCUUAUAUGUAGACUAAAAAAAAACGAAGAAAGUAUAAAUAAGUUACAUAAGAUAAACAAGCAGUAGAAUCUCUUUUUUUAAUGGAUUGCUUUCUUCUAGUGUCUGCAUAAUUAACUCAUGGUCAUGCAUGAUGCAGUAGUUGCAAGUAUACCAAUUGGCAAUUGCUCGAUCAGUGGCUAAAACGGCAAGGCCAUCCUCUGAACAAGGCACCAAAAUAAUGCGAUAUUCACGGCCAUUCCUUGCGGAGGUACAACAUAAAAUUCAGAAACUGGAAUACCUGUACUGCUAGAUAAACCGACCAGUGUAGCAGGCGUUUCUACUUUCUAGCCUAUCUAGCAGACUAGCACCCUUUCUAAUUCUUUUUACUUCACUAACACAAAUGCCCGUGCGUUGCAACCGAAUGCAUUGUUACUUGUCGUGCCUUCACCUAUUUUACUAUGCUCUUUUUUAGAAAAAAAUAUGUCCAGUUUGAUUGAUGAGCACAUUAAAUAUAGUCAUAGUCACUUUUUCUUAGGCUAGCCAUAGUCGGGGUAACUUAGGUAGUAACUUAACACAUUCCAAGACAAUUUUACUUAUAUGGCAAGUAUUUAAUAAGGAAAGAGAUGCAUGUGGUAAGAUAAGGCGUAAUGCAUAGUAUCAUAAGUUAGUAUCUUAGGUAGCUUUAUUAAUUUCCAUGCAUGACACAAAGUAGUACAUCAUUUAAUAUGAUAUAGUAUCAUGAUAUGAUACCACACCCACUCUUUUUCUCAUUUAAUUGUGUGUUAUAUCAUCCAAAAGUCUAGUUGGCAUGCAUGAUACCGCUUAUGAUACUCCUAUUACGACCAGCCUAAUAUGUUACUGUAACAUAGCGUUUUCAGAGGCAAAGUGAGUCUAUGAGCUAAUAAAUGAAGCAAUCUAUCACUACUAGGGAAAAACUUAUAGGCAGACGCUUACUAGUAGCGCGGGUUUAUAACCCUCGUUGCUGCUACUUACUAGCAGCGUGGGUUUUUACCCCUCGCUACUACUAAGUUGAUACUAGUAGCGCGGGUUUUUAACCCGCGCUACUACUAAGCGGUCUCUACCGUGCCCUCCCGGGACAUGCCAUAGUAGUAGCGAGGGGUACAAACCCGCGCUACUACUAAGUUAAUAGUAGUAGCGCGAUUUUAUACCCCUCGCUACUACUAAGUACGAGGUAGGUGAAAUCCCCAUAUCCUCGGCCGAAUCCCUCCUCUCUCCCUCAGUUUUCCCCUCUCUCACUUUCCUCCUCUCUCCCUCGUACUCUAGCGGUGGCCGCCGCUGGUACACUCUGCUUUCUUCCUCCCUCCCUCUCCGAGAUCCCUCCGGUGGGAGGUCGCCGGAGCUCCUCGCCGCCGCCAAGAUGCGGAAGCACGACCUCGGCAUCCUCCUCCUCACCACCUUCGUCGUCUUCUUCUCGCUCCAGGUCAGCCCUUCUCCUCCCCCUUCUCCGAUUCGAUCCGGAACCCUAGCUGACCCACCCCCUCCUCCUCCGACAGCACGAGGGCCGCCGCGAGGUGCUGCUCCCCACGCACGACGCCAAGAUCCAGGUCCUCCAGCUCCCGGCCAAUGCCGGGCUGGCCUCCGCGGCCUCCACGAGGCGCGCGUCAUGGCCGAGAUCUCCCUGCUCCCGGCCAACGUGCGCGUCGCCGCCGGCCGCCACCCCGUCGCCAUGGAUGUCGGCGCCGUCGAACGAACCAUUGACACCAUUGACAGCACGCACGGGGUCGAGAUUUUUUUUGUUUCUCAAAUUAAUAGUAGUAGCGCGGGUCACAGACAUGCGCUACAGAUAGUUAGUAGUGGUAGUGCGGGAUGCACCGCGCUACUACUACUAGUUAGCUGUAGCGCCGUAGUAGUAGCGCAGGCACCCGCGCUAUUACUAGCUUUUAACCCGCGCUACUACUAGGCUUUUUCCUAGUAGUGUAUGACACUAUUAUUAUGUUACUUUUCAUUAUGGAGGUUGUAACUUAGACUAGUGUUAUAUGCAUGACACUGGUAUAAGUUACUCCCCACUAUGACCAGCCUAAUGCUCAAGAGUGCUCCAUAUAUUUUAUUUUAAUUAUUGGAGCUUUCGUUCGUGCAACGCCUUCCUUUUAAUUAUGCGCCAUUAUGCAAGGCAGCCCACAAUCUCAGUCUAGUGGGAUUAAUGCCAUUGGAUUAUGCAGCCUUAGAAGAUGGUGCAAACGUCCUCAUUAUAUGGAGUUAAUUUCCUUGCCGAUUCCUUCUCCAUGCAUGGUAGCCCUGUAAUACAAGGAGUUCAUUUCCUUUGUAGGAGCCCAUAAUUCCUAGGAGUUAAAUCCCUUCCAGAUAUUUGCCUCUAGCUCGCCCUUGUGUCAGGCUAGCUAUAGUGGGGGUAACUUAGAUAGUAACUUAACACAACCCAAGACAAUUUUUGUUUAUAUGGCAAGUAUUUAAUGAGGAGAGAGGUGCUUGGAGUAACACAAUAUGUUACUGUAACAUAGCGCUUUCCGAAGUAAAAUGAGUCUAUAAGACAAUAAAUGAAACUAUCUAUGACACUACUACUAAGAUACUUUGCACUAUGGAGGUAGUAACUUAGACUAGUGUCAUAUGCAUGACACUAGUAUAAGUUACUCCCCACUAUGACCAGCCUCACUGCCGGCUUGUUGAUUCCUGAUGUGGCAGGUAUAUUAAUCGGUUUGACUAUGUUUAUAAAGGUGAGGUUGGACUAUUAAUUAUCACGCAUGGUUGGCUGUGUUGUUUAUAAAAUUAUUUAAGCGGGACGAAACUAAGAAUAUCACCUCCUUUUAAUUUUAAAAAGUAGGUAUAGAUAUAGAUUGGUUCUCUGGAUGAAUAAUUCUAUUCUAUUUGAAGUAAGAAGCCAAGCAUGCCAUAUUUCUUCUCCUAUAUCGUUUAUACCAUACGAAUCCAAUCUUUAAACUCCCCUCUUAAUUAAACAAUUUUCAUUCAAACGUUUUCUCUUCCGUUUUGCCAUAUCCUCUACAUACUUUUUGUUAGACGUGUAUUUCUUUUCAUUGCCAUUCGAUCUUCUCCGCUCUAAAAUAGAUAAUGUUCUACAGUGUGCAACCAAACUUCUCUACCUUCAACGACUAUUCGAUUGGUUUCAUCAAAAGGUACUGUUAGAUUAGAUUUGUCAUAGCCUACCGUCAAAGAUGCAUAUUGGAGGUUCUUCCAGUUCAAUACAUCAUUCAUUUACAAACAUAGUGGUUAUGUUUAAUUGAUCGUAUUGAUGUUGUUGUUCAUUCAAACAUAUCGAACCUCAAGGCUAAACAUAUACCUGGAAUACUUCAUCAGUUGAACUUCACUCUUGUUGUUUAAGUGAUGAACUCUAAUUUUCCCUUCUCUUAAUCACAAAAUGAAUGCCUCCAAACUUAGCAAUUUUGAUAAAAAUCUCUUUGCUUCUACAAGGAAUAAGAACCUCAAGGCACCUACUUCCCAAAUGUUGCGACAUAACCACAUAAUCCAAUGAUUAUGCGACCGUGGGAUAGCGAUCCAAUUAUGUGGGGUGGGGGGGGGGAUCCGAGAACUUAUUUUGUUUUUCAAAAUAGGCUUAUCGAUUGACCAUAUCAUGUCAAUUCUGAAUUGACUUCAUUGUUCUUUUUUAUGUCUAACACCAUCUACUCCAUAUCCACAUCUUGCCAACUGUUAUUUUUUGCCAUUAGACCAACAUUUAAAACAAACCGAGCCCAAUAAAUCAAAAAAAUACAAAGCAAAGGACAUGAAAAAGGGCUAUACCUUUGAUUCUCAAGGACCGUGGAACAGGAUUAGAGGGGCGUUGGGGGGUAGCCCCAGGCACCAGCGCCAUUGGCCGCUGCCCGGGAGCGCUCCUUGGCGGCCUUCCUCGCGCGCCGUACUGUGACCUCUGAAUGCAGUAUAUAACCGAGGCUCAGUGCGGUGAUCAUACCAAGCAUAACCACCAGUGCCCAGAUGCCUGGCUUGGCCGCCGGGUAGGUCGGCUGGCUGGUGCCGAUGGAACUAAGGCGAGAGCCCAUGUCUGCAGCUAGGUAAUGUGCUAGCAGGUCAUUAAUGAGAAGGAGGGGAGAAAUGCUCUUAUAUCUAGCUAAGGGGGGCAAUGCCCCCCCUAACCAAUUUAUUAAGAAUUUAUUCAUGAAAGGGCUUGGAAGGGGGAAUUAGCCUUUUGCCUCACCCCCCCCCAAAAAAAAUCGUCUAGCACUACCACUACAUACCAAUAUAUAUUUAUUAAAAGAACAUAAUAUUAUGCCUUUGGCUCUCCCUUGGCAGAUUUCGCCUAUCUUCAUUACCACACACUAGUAUACAAUUUAUCAAAAGAACAUAUCAAUAUGAUUAAUUUUGCAAAAAUUCUACGAUAAAAAGGUUUAAAUUAUCAAUUAUGAGUUCAAAUAAAAUCACAGUAAUCAUUAGUCAGUCGUCUCAAUUUAUCAAUUCUAAUUUUCCACUCGCACUCAUAAUUAAACAUAUUCAAACUUUGAUGGUAAAAUCAUACUUUAAAUUGAAGAAGAUGGAAAUCAUACUUUGAAUUAGAGAGAUGAGAAGUCGGUGGUGUUCUUGCCUCGAUGGCUCGGUGAUAACCCACAAUUAUAGUGGAUCGCAACAGUCUGCUUUGAGAGUAUUAGUUAACUCAAAUUUAUUGAUUCGACACAGGAGGAGCCAAAGAAUAUUUGUAAGCCUUUUCAGUUGAGUUGUCAAUUCAACCACACCUGAAAAAUUAUUUCUCUGCAGCAAAGUAUUAGUAGCACAAUAGUAUGAUAGUUUUGAUAGUAGUGGUAACAGUAGCAAUAGUAACAAUAGCAGUGACAGUAGCAGUUUUGUAGUAAUUAUAACAACAGUAACUUAGCAAAGACAAUAUGAGCAAAGCGUAGGCAUUGGAUGUGAUGGAUAUUUGUAUGGAUGGCAUUCAUUAUGUAACAAUCACAACCUAGAGCGAUACAGACUAGUUUCAAUUCAUCAAUUCAAUAUAGUCAUGUAUUAUGUAUAUAGUCGUACAUGCUUAUAAUAAGUACUUGCAUGACAUCUUUUGUCCUACCCCCCCCCCCCAUGGCAGCGGGGUCCAUAAGGAAAGAGAACCGGAUCAAAGCAUUUACAGAUGUUGAAUACAUGAACUCCUUGAAUUACAGUCAUCCCCGGAGAGUACCCCAAUUAUUGUCACCUUGGGGUCUACGGUUCAGAACAAUAACAAGUGCAUAUAACUAGUAGAUAGGAUCAAGAACUCAUAUAUAUUCAUGAAAAAAAUAAUAGGUUCGGAUCUGAAAUCAUGACACUUGGGCCCUAGUGACAUGCAUUAAGCAUAGGAAAGUCAUAGAAACAACAAUCUCAGAACGUAGUGGAUACUAGGGAGCCCUAACAAAUUGAGUCGAUUACAUGACAAGUCUCAUCCAUCUCCAUCACCGUCCAACAAGCCUACGAAUGAAUUACUCACUCCCGGUGACGAGCAUCAUGGAAUUGUUGAUGAAGAAGGGUUGAUGAUGACGACAACGAUGAAUCCCCUUCUCCGGAGCCCCGAACGGACUCUAGAUCAGCCCUCUCGAUGAAGAACAGGAGGUGACGACGGCUCCGUAUCGUAAAACACGAUGAGACUUCUUCUCUUAUUUUUUUCUUGGGAAGACGGUACUUAUGGAGGUGGAAUUAGGUCAGACGGAGUCACGUGGGCCCAAAAAGACACUAGGGCGCGUCCAGGGGACAGGCGUGCCCUGCUACCUUGUGAGUAGCUGGUGGCCACCUCCAGUGGAUAUUUGCACCAGUAUGUUAUAUUUAUUCAAUAAAAAAAUCUUCUCCAAGUUUCGUCCAAUUCCAAGAACUUCUAUUUCUGCACAAAAACAACACCAUGGUAGUUCUGCUAAAAAUAACGUUAGUCCCAAUUAGCUUCAUUCAAAUCAUGCAAAUUAGAGUCCAAAACAAGAGGAGAAGUGUUUGAAAGUAGAUACGUUGGAGACAUAUCCACUCCCCCAUGCUUAACUCAAUGCUUGUUCUCAAGCAAUUUAGUUUAAAAACUGAAAGUGACAAAGAAAAACUUUUACAAACUCUUUUUUUCCAUGAACUAGCAACCAAGUUUAAUUAGCAACCAAGUUUUCAGCAAAGAUCGUGAACUAACCAUGUGAAUGAUAACACUUAACUCAUAUAUACUCAUAUGUCACAUCCAUAGCAUAAUCAACUAGCGAGCAAUAACGAUAUAUCUCAAGUGCCAACACUUUGUGAAAACAAUCAUGAUAUAAUAUGAUAGCAUGGUAUCUCGCUAGCCCUUUCUGAGACCACAAAAUAUAAAUCCAGAGCACCUCUGAAGUUCAUGCAGCGACUAAACAUUGUAAUUCAGGGUAGAAGAGAUACAGUCAUGCUCACAUCAAACACUAACUAGACUCAAUGCAUGUUAAACUAAGAAUGAAAAUUGUGCUAUGAAAGUUGGUGCUUGAACGAGAGGGUGAUGACUAGACAAUAAAAGUAAUAACAUGAAAGUAAAUAGAAAGGCCCUUCGCACAAGUAAGUAGAGACUUGCAAAGGCGGCAGAGCUCAGAGCAAAAACAGGGAUGAAUACAUUUUGAGUGGUGUGCUUUUCCUGUCAACGUCACGACAAAGGAUUUCAACAUCUUCCAUGCUAAACAUAUUAUUAGCGAUUCCCAUGCAUAAAGGAAAAGUUUUACUCCCCCAAAACCAUACAAACAUAAUCCAUGGCUAGCCGAAUCCUCAUUUGUCCUCCAACAAUCAACUGUAAAGGGGGAGUUUGUUUUAUUAUAUUUUUAGUUUGUUUUUGUUUAACGGGACUGGGCAUCCCAAAUACCACCCUUUUUCAUGCAAGACGAGUGAAUAAACUCUCAUCAUGAGAAUAACCCGCUUAGCAUGAAAGUAUUGACCUCCCCGUUGCUUCAUGAGCGGUACAGACACACGAAACAGAUGUUUAUUUGAAUGCUUAGAGAUGGCACAUGCAAUUUUACUUGGAACAACAGGGUAAUACUGUAUAUAGGUAGAUAUGGUGGACUCUUUUGGCAUGACUUUGGGUUCCAUGAAUUUUGAUGCACAAGCUCAUAAUAUAUGGUAUUACCCCGAUUCCCGCUUAGUACAGGUGAAAACUAGCAAAUGUAUUGACAGGCGGCCAACUAGAGAGCGACAAUGGUCAUAAUCAUGCAUUUUGAAUAAUUAACAUUGAACAUGAUCAUGAGUAGGAUAUAAACACCCUGAAUAUAAAUAUUAUGAAGGCUGCAUUUGUUUUGAAUCAACUACAUAUGUGAACAUGUGCCAAGUCAAGCCACUUGAAUUCUUCAGAGGAGGAUACUAUCCUAACAUACCACAUCACAAUCAUUUUAAUGCAUGUUGACACCUAAGAUAACAUAUUAUAUAUUCCUAGCUACUUAAGCAUGACAUGAGCAACUAUAAUCUCUAAUUGUCAUCACAAACAUGUUUACUCAUGAGUUAAACAUAUUCAUAAUAAUAGAAACAAGAAGAGUUCAUACCAGCUUUUCUUUGUCACACUCACUUCAUCAAAUCAUCGUCAUUAUUGUCUUUCACUCGCACGACCGAAUGAUGUGAAAAUAAUAAUAGUGCAAGGGACCUGUGGACUAAGUUAAAAUCUGCAAACAUUUUAUUCAAGGAAAAGACAAUGAAAUAUUGUCCAUUUCGUUAGAUCAACAAUAAAGCAUGUAAGAGCCACUCGACAAUUCUGAUGAAAGUUACAUGUUUAAACUUAUUUAGCUGACAAUGAACAUUUCUCGAGCAAGGUGGAAAAUUUAAAAUGCAUGAUGAAUUUUUUAACAUUAUAAAAUACUUCUUAAAUGCGCAUUGAAGUUGUUUUUUAUGUUACAAAAUGAACGUUUAUUAUUAAUAAUUAGAACAUUUUAAAACGCAUGUUGAAUAUUUUCUUAAUGCAUGAUGAAUUUUGCAACUUCUUAUCGAACAAUUUUAAGUACAUGAUGAACAUUUGUUAACAAUGUCGAAUACUUUUUUUCAUACACAUUGAUUUUUUUUACAUGAUGAACAGUUUUAAAGUACAUGACGAUUUUAAAUUACAUGCUGAAUAUUUAUAUAAAAUAAGGGAAAUAAAAAAUAUAUGUACAAAUAUUUAAUGGGAGAAAUAAAGAUGCACAAAACAAAAGAGAAAAAACUUUUUAAAAUAAUAAAAGAAGGUAUUUAUUUAAAAUUCAUAUGUAAAAUAAAAUAUAAAAGUGAGCAAAUGGAAAAAACGGAAUCGUUUGUAGCCUUCUUCGUUUUUAGAAUUGUCCGUAGCCUAUAUAAGGGCAUGACCAAUGCAUAGCCACAUGGUGAUGCCCCGUGUGCCAUGUAGGAUUGCAUGUUAGGGAAUGUAGGUUCGGAUAGGGAAGCGGGAUGCUCUGCAAAAGGCGGGUUCUUGGGGAGAAAAAGUGUGGUCCAGUGUAAAAAACUGAAAAAGUUAAAGUGAAGAGUAGAGAUGCAUAUGUAUUUAAGUUUUUAUUUUUUAUUUCUUGACGAGGCCCACCAGUAGUAGCUUGCGUUGAGGAGAAAAAGAAUCAAUGUAGUUGUCUCAACUUACUUUUUCUCAUGUGGCAUCUAUAUUCAUAUGUUACCAUUGUUCAUGCCCUAAACGACCGAUCAGACCUGCCAUAAACAAGUGGCAAUAAGAUGUAGUUGAGCGCCCAAGACAAUUAAGGUGAUCAACAAGAUUUGCCACGGAUUCCUCUAGGUUGGUGCGGCGGAGGCUAAUUGUGGCCAGUGCAGGGUGGCCUGGAAGUCAGUGUGCACUCCAAAAUGGGAUGGUGGGCUGGGUGUUCCAGAUUUGCAAUGGCUUAACGUUGCGCUACAGGCUAGGUGGCCUUGGCUGCACAAGCCAUGGAAAGGGAUGGACAUCAAGGUUUCGAAGGAGGCCAUGAGGCUUUUUCAAGCUAUUGCAUUCACUAUGGUCGGCCAUGGCCAUCGGGUAAUCUUCUAGGAAGAUAGGUGGAUCAACAGGUACAGGGCGUGAUACGUCUCCAACGUAUCUAUAAUUUUUGAUUGUUCCAUCACUAGUAGAAAAAUGGUCAAACGUGAAGCACAUUAGUGCCGGUUUGAAUUUGAGCCGGCACUAAUGUGUACAUUAGUGCCGGUUCCAACGGCUAGCUGGGCCGUUCUCAUUAGUAUCGGUUCGUGGCGAUUCUUUAGCACCGGUUCAUGCCACGAACCGGUACUAAAGUGAGUGGUGGCAGGAUGUUGUCAGUCCGGGGCCCCUCCAGCACCUUUAUUACCGAGUCGUAUCACGAACCGGUACUAAAGGUCGUCCUACAUAGACCCUUCGUCCAUCCGAGCUCGCUCUGUUCUUCCCCUUUCCCCUCUCCUCUAUGUUCUUUUCCCUCUUCCUCUCAAGCUCAUCACACAUUUUGCCCAAGAUUUGAAGGCCCCCAUCCAUUCAAAUGAUCACAAAGGUUAGCAACUUUUUCCUUUCAUCUCUCAUUGCUAGAUUAGCUCAUGCAAUGCUUUAUGUAGUGAUUGAUUUUUGAGUUUAGUAAUUUGGGAUGAAUUAUAUAUAUGUGCUAGUAUUUGAUUUAUAUGCAAUUUGAGGUAAAAAAUAACACUUAGUUUUGCAUAUGUAGGUGUGGUUUACUUAGUACCUUCUAAAUCUUCGUCGUAACCACCGUUGAUCGCUCGCAACGUCCCGUCGCCGGCACCACCUUGUGGUGAGCCUCUUGUUCAUGAAGUUUUAUAUACAAAAUUGAUGUUUGUGUGAUUUGGAUAUAUGGUUACUCAUAUAAUUAUCUUACCCAUACGUUGUUUGUUAUGCAUAGUGCCAUGGUUUUGAUAUCCGUCCCCGUCGGCCCUCGUCCGGGUUAUGAUUCGGAUGUGGUAUAUUCUCUUUUAAAACUAUUCAUUGCAUUUCGUGUUUAUGACAAAUUAUGCCCAUCAAGUUGACAUAGAUAUUUGUAUGUAGGAGGUAGUUGAACCGGAAAUUCUAACCGACCCUAUUGUCGAGAGGUUAAAUUUAGUUGAAAGAGAAAAUGAGGAUUUGAAGAAAAAACUGAAAAGAAUUGAGGGGGAGAAGAUGGAAUUGGAGUUGCAUGUUGCCGAUGUCGUCGAUGAUCACAAGAUUAAGAUGGAGAAAAUGCGCUUGAAGAUUAGAAAGAUUAGAAAAUAUGCCAUUCAUAGUGAGGCUUGGUACCAUUAUGCUGUUGGAUCAAUUGUUACCUUAGUUGCGAUCUUGAUUGCAUUUGUUGUUGCAUUUAAAUUCUUUAGCUGGAGAGUUAUUUGUUUGUUGCAUUUAAGUGUUGUAUGAUCUUUAUGUAUGAACUUUAUGUAUUGUAUUAAUUUGAUGUUUUCGGUGCUGUGUAUUGAAGAUGAGCCGGCAAUGGAUGUACGAUGACCGAUGCUCUCUCGAGUUCAUUAAUGGCGUGCGUACUUUUCUGCUUGCGGCUGAGGCAAACAAGCGAGCGAAUGGUUUUAUGCAUUGUCCAUGUGCUGGCUGUAAGAAUGGUCGCAAUUACUCUACGUCAAGAACCAUUCACGUCCACCUGUUUGAGUCCGGUUUCAUGCCACACUAUAAUGUUUGGACCAAGCAUGGAGAAAGAGGGGUUAUGAUGGAAGACAAUGAAGAAGAAGAGGACGACGACAACUAUCCUGGCCAUGGGUUCCCUGAAUACGAUGAUACAACAAUGAGGGAAGAAGCUGAGCUGGUAAUGCGGGAAGAAGCUGAGCCGUCAAUGCGGGAAGAAGCUGAGCCGGCAAUGCGGGAAGAAGCUGAAGAAGAGGCAUCGGAUGAGCCUGUUGAUGAUCUAGGUCGGGCCAUUGCCGAUGCAAAGAGAAACUGCGCAAGUGAUUUGGAGAAGAAGAAGUUGCAACGCAUAUUAGAGGAUCACAAAAAUUUGUUGUACCCGAAUUGCAUAGGUGACAAGAAAAAGCUGGGCACCACACUGGAAUUGCUGCAAUGGAAGGCAGAGAAUGGUGUAUCUGACAAGGGAUUUGGAAAGUUGCUGGUAAUGAUAAAGGAUAUGCUCCCAAAGGACAACGAAUUGCCCGAGAGUAUGUAUGAAGCAAAGAAGGUUGUCUGCCCUCUAGGGUUAGAGGUGCAGAAGAUACAUGCAUGCCCUAAUGAUUGCAUCCUCUACCGCGGUGAGUAUGAGUAUUUGAACGCUCGCCCGGUAUGCGGUGCAUUGCGCUAUAAGAUCAGCCGCGGUGACCCUGGUGAUGUCGAGGGCGAGCACCCCAGGAAGAAGAUUCCUGCCAAGGUGAUGUGGUAUGCUCCUAUAAUACCACGGUUGAAACGUUUGUUCCAAAACAAAGAGCAUGCCAAGGCGAUGCGAUGGCACAGAGAAGACCAUAAGAAAGACAGAAAGUUGAGAGUACCCGUUGAUGGGUCGCAGUGGAGAAAAAUCGAAAGAAAGUACGGGAAGGAGUUUGCAGAUGACGGAAGGAACGUAUGGUUUGGUCUAAGCACAGAUGACAUUAAUACUUUUGGGGAGCAGAGCAGCAACCAUAGCACCUGGCCUGUGACUCUAUGUUUGUAUAACCUUCCUCCUUGGUUGUGCAUGAAGCGGAAGUUCAUUAUGAUGCCAGUGCUCAUCCAAGGCCCUAAGCAACCCGGCAACGACAUUGAUAUGUACUUAAGGCCAUUAGUUGAAGAACUCUUACAACUGUGGAAUGGAACAGGUGUACGUACGUGGGAUGAGCACAUGGGGGAAGAAUUUGACCUAAAGGCGUUGCUGUUCGUGACCAUCAAUGGUUGGCAUGCUCUCAGUAACCUUUCAGGGCAGACAAACAAGGAUACCACGAAUGCACGCACUGUUUGGACGAUACCGACAGUAUAUAUUUGGCUAAUUGUAAGAAGAAUGUGUACCUGGGACAUCGUCGAUUUCUUCCGAGCAGGCAUCCCGUAAGAAAGAAAGGCAAGCAUUUCAAAGGUGAGGCGGAUCACCGGACGAAGCCUCGCCACCGUACUGGUGCUGAUGUACAUGAUAUGGUCAAGGAUUUGAAUGUGGUCUUUGGAAAGGGUCCUGGUGGACAACCUGUUCCGAAUGACGCUGACGGACGCGCACCCAUGUGGAAGAAGAAAUCUAUAUUUUGGGACCUGCCCUAUUGGAAAGACCUAGAGGUCCGGUCCGCAAUCAACGUGAUGCACGUGACGAAGAAUCUUUGUGUGACCCUGCUUGGCUUCUUGGGCGUGUAUGGGAAGACAAAAGAUACACCUGAGGCACGGGAGGACCAGCAACGUAUGCACGGAAAAGACGGCAUACAUCAGGGUCAUGCAAGCUAUGAUCUUACCAAAGAAGAGAAGGAAAUCUUCUUUGAAUGCCUGCUUAGUAUUAAGGUACCGUCUGGCUUCUCGUCGAAUAUAAAGGGAAUAAUAAACAUGGCAGAGAAAAAGUUCCAGAAACUAAAGUCUCAUGACUGCCACGUGAUUAUGACGCAAGUGCUUCUGAUUGCAUUGAGGGGGCUUCUACCGGAAAAUGUUCGAUUAGCCAUUGUGAAGCUAUGUGCAUUUCUCAAUGCAAUCUCUCAGAAGGUAAUCGAUCCAGAAAUCAUACCAAGGUUAGAGAAUGAUUUGGUGCAAUGUUUUGUCAGUUUCGAGUUGGUGUUCCCACCAUCCUUCUUCAACAUCAUGACACACGUCCUAGUUCACCUAUGCGAAGAGAUUAACAUUUUGGGUCCUGUAUUUCUACACAAUAUGUUCCCCUUUGAGAGGUUCAUGGGAGUCUUAAAGAAAUAUUUUCAUAAUCGUGCUAGGCCAGAAGGAAGCAUCUCCAAGGGCCAUGAAAAUGAGGAGGUCAUUGAGGGGAACACCAAUCUGUGCCUUGGAUGAGCACUGGCAUCAUAAUGAACUUCCGCUUCAUGCACAACCAAGGAGGAAGGUUAUACAAACAUAGAGUCACAGGCCAGGUGCUAUGGUUGCUGCUCUGCUCCCCAAAAGGAUUAAUGCCAUCUGCGCUUAGACCAAACCAUACGUUCCUUGCGUCAUCUGCAAACUCCUUCCUGUACUUUCUUUCGAUUUUUCUCCACUGCGACCCCUCAGCGGGUACUCUCAACUUUCCGUCUUUCUUACGGUCUUCUUUGUGCCAUCGCAUCGCCUUGGCAUGCUCUUUGUUUUGGAACAAACGUUUCAACCAUGGUAUUAUAGGAGCAUACCACAUCACCUUGGCAGGAAUCUUCUUCCUGGGGCGCUCGCCCUCGACAUCACCAGGGUCAUCGCGGCUGAUCUUAUAGCGCAAUGCACCGCAUACCGGGCCAGCGUUCAAAUCCUCGUACUCACCGCGGUAGAGGAUGCAAUCAUUAGGGCAUGCAUGUAUCUUCUGCACCUCUAACCCUAGAGGGCAGAUAGCCUUCUUUGCUUCGUACGUACUCUUGGGUAAUUCGUUGUCCUUUGGAAGCGUAUCCUUUAUCAUUACCAGCAACUUUCCAAAUCCCUUAUCAGAUACACCAUUCUCUGUCUUCCAUUGCAGCAAUUCCAGUGUGGUGCCCAGCUUUUUCUUGUCACCUAUGCAAUUCGGGUACAACAAUUUUUUGUGAUCCUCUAACAUGCGCUGCAACUUCUUCUUCUCCAAAUCACUUGCGCAGUUUCUCUUUGCAUCGGCAAUGGCCCGACCUAGAUCAUCAACAGGCUCAUCCGAUGCCUCUUCUUCAGCUUCUUCCCGCAUUGCCGGCUCAGCUUCUUCCCGCAUUACCGGCUCAGCUUCUUCCCUCAUUGUUGUAUCAUCGUAUUUAGGGAACCCAUGGCCAGGAUAGCUGUCGUGUCCUCUUCUUCUUCAUUGUCUUCCAUCAUAACCCCUCUUUCUCUAUGCUUAGUCCAAACAUUAUAGUGGGGCAUGAAGCCGGACUCAAACAGGUGGACGUGAAUGGUUCUUGACAUAGAGUAAUUGCGACCAUUCUUACAGCCAGCACAUGGACAAUGCAUAAAACCAUCCGCUCGCUUGUUUGCCUCAGCCGCAAGCAGAAAAGUACGCACGCCAUUAAUGAACUCAGGAGAGCAUCGGUCAUCGUACAUCCAUUGCCGGCUCAUCUUCAAUACACAGCACCGAAAACAUCAAAUUAAUACAAUACAUAAAGUUCAUACAUAAAGAUCAUACAACACUUAAAUGCAACAAACAAAUAACUCUAGCUAAAGAAUUUAAAUGCAACAACAAAUGCGAUCAAGAUUGCAACUAAGGUAACAAUUGAUCCAACAACAUAAUGAUACCAAGCCUCACUAUGAUUGGCAUAUUUUCUAAUCUUUCUAAUCUUCAAGUGCAUUUUCUCCAUCUUAAUCUUGUGAUCAUCGAUGACAUCAGCAACAUGCAACUCCAAUUCCUCUUCUCCCCCUCAAUUCUUUUCAAUUUUUCCUUCAAAUCCUCGUUUUCUCUUUCAACUAAAUUUAACCUCUCGACAAUAGGGUCGGUUAGAAUUUCCGGUUCAACUACCUCCUACAUACAAAUAUCUAUGUCAACUUGAUGGGCAUAAUUUGUCAUAAACACAAAAUGCAAUAAAUAGUUUUAAAAGAGAAUAUACCACAUCCGAAUCAUAACCCGGACGAGGACCGAUGGGGAUGGAUAUCAAAACCAUGGCACUAUGCAUAACAAACAACGUAUGGGUAAGAUAAUUAUACGAGUAACUAUAUAUCCAAAUCACACAAACAUCAAUUUUUUAUAUAAAACUUCAUGAACAAGAGGCUCACCACAAGGUGGUGCCGGCGACGGGACGUUGCGAGCGAUCGACGGUGGUUACGACGGAGAUUUAGAAGGUACUAAGUAAACCACACCUACAUAUGCAAAACUAAGUGUUAUUUUUUUACCUCAAAUUGCAUAUAAAUCAAAUACUAGCACAUAUAUAUAAUUCCUCCCAAAUUACUAAACUCAAAAAUCAAUCACUAUAUAAAGCAUUGCACGAGCUAAUCUAGCAAUGAGAGAUGAAAGGAAAAAGUUGCUAACCUUUGUGAUCAUUUGAAUGGAUGGGGGCCUUCAAAUCUUGGGCAAAAUGUGUGAUGAGCUUGAGAGGAAGAGGGAAAAGAACAGAGAGGAGAGGGGAAAGGGGAAGAACAGAGCGAGCUCGGGUGGACGAAGGGUUUAUGUAGGACGACCUUUAGUACCGGUUCGUGAUACGACCCGAUACUAAAGGUGCUGGAGGGGCCCCGGACUGACAACAUCCUGCCACCACUCACUUUAGUACCGGUUCGUGGCACGAACCGGUGCUAAAAGUUCGCCACGAACCGGUACUAAUGAGAGCGGCCCGGCUAGCCGUUGGAACCGGCACUAAUGUACACAUUAGUGCCGGCUCAAAUUCAAACCGACACUAAUGUGCUUCACGUUUGACCCUUUUUCUACUAGUGAGUUUAUCCCUCUACAUCUUGUCAUCUUGCUUAAAGCGUUACUCUGUUCUUAUGAACUUAAUACUCUAGAUGCAUGCUGGAUAGCAGUCGAUGUGUGGAGUAAUAGUAGUAGAUGCAGAAUCGUUUCGGUCUACUUGACACGGACAUGAUGCAUAUAUUCAUGAUCAUUGCCUUAUAUAUCUUCAUAACUAUGCGAUUUUCUAUUAAUUGCUCGUCAGUAAUUUGUUCACCCACCGUAAUACAUGCUAUUUUGAGAGAAGCCACUAGUGAAACCUAUGGCCCCGGGUCUCUUUCUUAUUAUAUUACAUCUCUUUUAUUUACAUCGCAUCUCGUUUACUAUUUUGCAAUAUUUACUUUCCAAUCUAUACAACAAAAAUACCAAAAAUAUUUAUAUUACUAUCUUUAUCAGAUCUCACUUUUGCGAGUGACCGUGAUGGGAAUGACAACCCCUUUAUCGCGUUGGUUGCAAGGUGCUUGAUUGUUUGUGCAGGUACUAGGUGACUUGUGCGUUAUCUCCUACUGGAUUGAUACCUUGGUUCUCAAAAACCGAGGGAAAUACUUACACUACUUUGCUGCAUCAUCCUUUCCUCUUCAUGGGAAAACCAAUGCAUGCUCAAGAGGUAGCAAGAAGGAUUUCUGGCGCCGUUGCCGGGGAGAUCUACGCCAAGUCAAGACAUACCAAGUAUCCAUUGAUAACCCACAAGUAUAGGGGAUCAAUUGUAGCCUCUUUCGAUAAGUAAGAGUGUCGAACCCAACGAGGAGCUAAAGGUAGAACAAAUAUUCCCUCAAGUUCUAUCGACCACCGAUACAACUCUACGCACGCUUAACUUUCGCUUUACCUGGAACAAGUAUGAAACUAGAAGUACUUUGUAGGUGUUGUUGGAUAGGUUUGCAAGAUAAUAAAGAGCGCGUAAAUAAAAAGUAGGGUCUGUUUAGAUGAAGACACAACUAAGUUAGUUUUAGUAGAGAGCUUGUUGUCACACAAGAAAGUUAUUUGUCCCUAGGCAAUCGAUAACUAGACCGGUAAUCAUUAUUGCAAUUUUAUUUGAGGGAGAGGCAUAAGAUAACACACUUUCUCUUCUUGGAUCAUAUGCACUUAUGAUUGGAACUCUAGGAAGCAUCCGCAACUACUAAAGAUCAUUAAGGUAAAACCCAACCAUAGCAUUAUAAGGCAUCAAGUCCUCUUUGUUCCAAUAUGCAAACAACCUACUUACUCGGGUCUAUGCUUCUGUCACUCACGCUACCCACCAUAAGCAAAUCAUGAACAUAUUGCAAACCCUACAAUGGGGAUCCUUCACGCUUGCGCAAAACGGAGAGCACCAUAGGACAACACCAAUAAUAAAACAUGCAACUCAAAGCAAUCACGAUCAUCAAUUAACCCAUAGGACAAAAUGGAUCUACUCAAACAUCAUAGGAUAGCCAUACAUCAUUGGGAAAUAAUAUAUAGCGUUGAGCACCAUGUUUAAGUAGAGAUUACAGCGGGUAAAAGAGGGGUUACACCUCUGCAUAGAGGGGGGAAGAGUUGGUGAUGACGGCGGUGAAGUUGUUGGUGUAGAUCGUUGUCACGAUGAUGGCCCAGGCGGCGUUCCGGCGCCACCGGGAGAGAGGGGGAGAGAGCCUCCCUUCUUCUUCUUCUUCUUCUUCUUCUUCCUUGACCUUCUCCCUAUAUGGGAGAAGGGUUUCCCCUCUGGUCCUUGGUCUCCAUGGCAUGGGAGGGGCGAGAGCCCCUCCGAGAUUGGAUCUGUCUCUCUGUCUCUCUCUGUUUCUGCGCUCCCAGAUCCGGCCUUUCACCGUUUCUUAUAUUCCCGGAGAUCCGUAACUCCGAUUGGGCUGAAAUUUGGACACGAUUUUUAUCCGGAUGUUAGCUUUCUUGCAGCGAAGGAAGGACACCAACCUCCUUACGGGGUGUCCAUGAGGGUCAGGGGCGCGCCCCCUGCCUCAUGGCCCCCUCAGGCAUCGACUCGCGUUGAUUCCACUUCCCAAAAUUCACAUAUAUUCCAAAAAAAUCUUCGUCAGUUUUUAUCCCGUUUGGACUCCGUUUGAUAUGGAUUUUUUGUGAAACAGAAAAUAUGCAACAAACAGGAACUGGCACUGGGCACUGGAUCAAUAUGUUAGUCCCAAAAAUAGUAUAAAAAGUUGCCAAAAGUAUGUGAAAGUUGUAUAAUAUUGGCAUGGAACAAUCAAAAAUUAUAGAUACGACGGAGACGUAUCACCCAUCAUAAACUCUUCUCCCUCGCAUUACAUUAUUUGCCAUUCGCCUCUCGUUUUACUCUCCCCCACUUCUAAAACGAUUUUCGAAAACCUUUGCCUUUUAUUUGCCCCUUUUCCGUUCGUCUCUUUUUGCUUGCCUCUUGUGCGUCUGGGUGUUAGAUCGUUUGUUGUGCCUUCAUGGCUAGCCUUCCUUUGUCUACCAAUUUUUAAGUUCUUCACUUCAAACAGAGACAAGGAGAAAACAUAAAAGAUGCUUGGUACAGGAUGAUAGGAUCCUAUCGUAAUUGCACUAUAGAGGGAGAUUUCAAGAUUUUACUUCAUAAUUUUAAUGUUGGGCUAACCGUGUCCCAUAGACAACUCUUGGAUUUUGCCGCCAAAGGGAAUUUUAUCAAAAUUGAUCCCAGUAUUGCGCAUGAGAUUAUAGAGGGAAUAGUAGGAGUACUACCCCCACAAAAGGGACUACAUCAUACUUAGGAAGGAACCCAAGUUUUAGAGAAACUAUGCGAAGUACAAAAAUCUCUUGAACCUCUUAAAAAUGUUAGUGGGAACCUUCACCGCAUGAAUAUGUUGAUCACUCUUUGCAAUAAGCGGUUGGAUGCUCUAGAUCUAAAAAUCUCCGAGUAUGAAGGGAAACAUAAGGAACCUCCCGGAUUCGAGCAUAACCCCAUUAAAAAGAUAAAUACCAAAGAUGGCAAUACCUAGAUCUAUUCUUGCUUUUAUGCCUAGCUAGGGGCGUUAAACGAUAGCGCUUGUUGGGAGGCAACCCAAUUUUAUUUUUGUUCCUGUUUAGUAAUAAAUAAUUUAUGUAGCAUCUGUUAUGAUUGUGUUUUUAUGUUUUAAUUAGUGUUUGUGCCAAGUAAAGCCUUUAGGAUCUUCUUGGGUGAUUAUUGUUUGAUCUUGCUGAUAAAAACAGAAAGUAUGCGCUCACAAAAAUAAUUUUUAUUUUUUACCAGGAGCGAUAAAAUACCAAUUCCAACUGCAGUAUAUAAAUAUACAAAUUUUCCUGGUCAUCUUAAUUUUUCAGAAUUUUUGGAGUUACAGAAGUAUUCGAAACCUCCAGAUUGCUACAGACUGUUUUGUUUUGACAGAUUCUGUUUUUCGUGGUUUGUUUGCUUAUUUUGAUGAAUCUAUUGCUAGUAUCGGGGGUAUGAACCAUAGAGAAGUUGGAAUACAGUAGGUUUAACACAAAUAUAAAUAAAUAAUGAGUUCAUUAUAGUACCUUAAAGUGGUGGUUUAUUUUCUUAUACUAACGGAGCUCAUGAGAUUUUCUAUUGAGUUUUGUGUUGCGAAGUUUUCAAGUUUUUGGGUAAAGAUUUGAUGGAUUUUGGAAUAAGGAGUGGCAAGAGACUAAGCUUGGGGAUUCCCAAGGCACCCCAAGGUAAAAUUCAAGGACAACCAAUAGCCUAAGCUUGGGGAUGCCCCGGAAGGCAUCCCCUCUUUUGUCUUCGUCUAUCGAUAACUUUACUUGAGGCUACAUUUUUAUUCACCACAUGAUAAGUGUUUUUCUUGGAGUGUCUUGUAUGAUUUGAGUCUUUGCUUUUUAGUUUACCACAAUCAUCCUUGAUGUACACACCUUUUGGGAGAGACACGCAUGAUUCAGAAUUUAUUAGAAUACUCUAUGUGCUUCACUUAUAUCUUUUGAGCUAGAUAAUUUUGCUCUAGUGCUUCACUUGUAUCCUUUUAGAGCACAGUGGUGGUUUUAUUUUAUAUAAAUUAUUGAUCUCUCAUGCUUCACUUAUAUUAUUUUGAGAGUCUUUUAGAACAGCAUGGCAAUUAGCUUUGGCUAUAAAACUAGUCCUAAUAUGAUGGGCAUCCAAGAUGGGUAUAAUAAAAACUUUCAUAUAAAGUGCGUUGAAUACUAUGAGAAGUUUGAUGCUUGAUGAUUGUUUUGAGACAUGAGGAUGGUGAUAUUAGAGUCAUGAUAGUAAAUUAAUUGUGAAUUUGAUAAAUACUUGUUUUGAGGUUUGCAAGUCCCGUAGCAUGCACGUAUGGUAACCAUUGUGUAACAAAUUUGAAGGAUGAGGUAUUUCUUUGAUUGUCUACCUUAUGAGUGGCGGUCGAGGACGAGCGAUGGUCUUUUCCUACCAAUCUAUCCUCCUAGGAGCAUGCGUGUAGUGCUUGGUUUUUGAUGACUUUUAGAUUUUUGCAAUAAGUAUGUGAGUUCUUUAUGACUAAUGUUGAGUCCAUGGAUUAUACGCACUCUCACCCUUCCACCGUUGCUAGCCUCUCUAGUACUGCGCAACUUUCGCCGGUACCAUAAACACACCAUUUACCUUCCUCAAACAGCCAGCAUACCUACCUAUUCUGGCAUUUCCAUAGCCAUUCCGAGAUAUAUUGCCAUGCAACCUUUCACCGUUCCGUUUAUUAUGACACACUCCAUCAUUGUCAUAUUCCCUUGCAUGAUCAUGUAGUUGACAUCGUAUUUGUGGCAAAGCCACCAUUCAUAAUUUUUUCAUACAUGUCACUCUUGAUUCAUUGCACAUCCCGGUACACCGCCGGAGGCACGCAUAUAGAGUCAUAUUUUUUCUAAGUAUCGAGUUGUAAUCUUUGAGUUGUAAAUAAAUAGAAGUGUGAUGAUCAUCAUUAUUAGAGCAUUGUCCCAUGUGAGGAAACAAAAAAAGAGAGAGAAAAAGAGGCCAAAGAAGCCAAACAAAAAAAAAA
rnacentral:lncRNA from 1 species